GACGAACGCUGGCGGCGUGCUUAACACAUGCAAGUCGAACGGAGUGGCGAACGGGUGAGUUACCCGUGGGUGACCUGCCUUGCACUUCGGGUUAAGCUUGGGGUACUGAGUCCAAUACCGGAUAAUGCAAGAUGAGCUCGCGGCCUAUCAGCUUGUUGGUGGGGUACUGGCCUACCAAGGCGUCGACGGGUAGCCGGCCUGGGAGGGUGUACGGCGACAUUGGGCCUGAGGUACGGCCCAGACUCGUACGGGAGGCAGCAGUGGAGAAUAUUGCACAAUGGGCGGAAGUGUGAUGCAGCGACGCCGCGGGGGGGAUGAAGGUCUUCGGGUUGUAAACUCCUUUCGACAGGGACGCGGUACCUGUAUAAGAAGCACCGGCUAACUACGUGCCAGCCGCCGCGGUAAUAC
rnacentral:rRNA from 1 species